UCUCAAAGCGCUGUACUGUAAGGUAGUAAAGCAAGUACAUUUUUCUAAAACAAAAUCUUGGAUGCUUUUGGCUAAAUCGAAGAGUUUGUGCUUUCCAUAAAGGACACUUGGCCUAGAAGAUCAUCUCCGGUGAAAGAAAAAAAAGGCCUUGAGGCACUUAAAUAUAUUUCAAAAGUGAGGCCAGAAUCAACUUAUGGCUUUGCUUCUCCAAACGACCAGAAGAAACCAGAAACUAUGCUGUAUAGCAACAACAAUCUGGAACAAAAAUACAGAUUUAAUGGAAAAGAAUAAAGAGCAUACAAUAAUGUUCGCAGGAUAAACAUACUUUGGUUGUAUGUACCUCAAGACUUACUGGAGUUAAGGGCGUACUUAUGGUCACAACGCAAAAUGGAAGGUUAAGAACAAUAUAUAUUAGUUACACGAUUAUCCAAUCUUCGAAUAUAUGUUAUGUGAAGACACUAACAUGUCUUAAAUAUAAGGUAAAGAAAAUGUAGAAUUCCACGGGAUUUAAAACUCAGAUGAGACAGUUAUACCAUAUUAUAAGCGGGAUAAACAUACUUAACUAUCUUCGAAGUCGAUGACUAUGAAAUAUUGCAACAAGGAAGAGACAAAUAUUAAUCAAAUACUCAUAAAAUGCCAAAUUGCAGUCUAUUAAAAUGUCAAUUCUAUUCCCUAAGCAAAUAAUUUUGGAAAUAAGUCGAAUGUCUUAUUUAAAUACAAAUUGAAUGGCCAAGAUUAUACAGAAGUACCAAAAUAUACAAGAAUAUUCGCAGGAUAAACAGGCUUUGAAGCUCAUGACCUAAGAGAUAUGCAUUGAAACAAGAAAUACCAUACUCAAUUACUGCCCAAUUGGAGUCUUCAAAUAUUCAAUUAAAAUUGCAAUUAAAUUCCUGCCAAAAUCAAGUAAUUUUGGCCACAUGGUUAAUAUGAACCAAUGGAAUAUGAA